rnacentral:tRNA from 1 species
GGAGAGUACAGCUCAAGUGGUAGAGCACAUGCUUAGCAUGCACAAGGUCCUGGGUUCAAUCCCUAGUACCUCCU